UACAGAGGGUGCGAGCGUUGUCCGGAAUUAUUGGGCGUAAAGCGCGCGCAGGCGGUCUCUUAAGUCUGAUGUGAAAGCCCCCGGCUCAACCGGGGAGGGUCAUUGGAAACUGGGAGACUUGAGUGCAGAAGAGAAGAGUGGAAUUCCACGUGUAGCGGUGAAAUGCGUAGAGAUGUGGAGGAACACCAGUGGCGAAGGCGACUCUUUGGUCUGUAACUGACGCUGAGGCGCGAAAGCGUGGGGAGCAAACAGG
rnacentral:rRNA from 1 species